rnacentral:rRNA from 1 species
CAGUAGCCGCGGUAAUACGAAGGGUGCAAGCGUUACUCGGAAUUACUGGGCGUAAAGCGUGCGUAGGAGGUGGUUUAAGUCCGUUGUGAAAGCCCUGGGCUCAACCUGGGAAUUGCAGUGGAUACUGGGUCACUAGAGUGUGGUAGAGGAUAGUGGAAUUUCCGGUGUAGCAGUGAAAUGCGUAGAGAUCGGAAGGAACAUCUGUGGCGAAGGCGACUAUCUGGGCCAACACUGACACUGAGGCACGAAAGCGUGGGGAGCAAACAGGAUUAGAUACCCGUGUAGUCCCUGUCUCUUAUAC